GCAACCCUGACGGAGCAAUACCGCGUGAGGGAGGAAGGCCUUUGGGUUGUAAACCUCUUUUCUUAAGGAAGAAGCUCUGACGGUACUUAAGGAAUCAGCAUCGGCUAACUCCGUGCCAGCAGCCGCGGUAAUACGGAGGAUGCAAGCGUUAUCCGGAAUUAUUGGGCGUAAAGCGUCCGCAGGCGGCAUUAUAAGUCUGCUGUCAAAGACCGCAGCUCAACUGCGGAAAGGCAGUGGAAACUGUAAAGCUAGAGUACGGUAGGGGUAGAGGGAAUUCCCAGUGUAGCGGUGAAAUGCGUAGAGAUUGGGAAGAACACCAGUGGCGAAAGCGCUCUACUGGGCCGUAACUGACGCUCAGGGACGAAAGCUAGGGGAGCG
rnacentral:rRNA from 1 species